rnacentral:rRNA from 1 species
UACGAGAGGCCCAAACGUUAUUCGGAAUUACUGGGCUUAAAGAGUUCGUAGGCGGCGCAGAAAGUAGGGUGUGAAGGCCCUCGGCUCAACCGAGGAAUUGCGCUCUAAACUACUGUGCUCGAGGAAUCUAGAGGUGAGCGGAACUGAUGGUGGAGCGGUGAAAUGCGUUGAUAUCAUCAGGAACACCGGAGGCGAAGGCGGCUCACUGGGGAUUUUCUGACGCUGAGGAACGAAAGCCAGGGGAGCGAACGGG